rnacentral:tRNA from 1 species
GUCCCCGUAGCUCAACUGGAUAGAGCAGCGGUUUCCUAAACCGCGUAUCCCAGUUCAAGUCUGGGCGGGGGCACCA